AUUGAACGCUGGCGGCAUGCUUUACACAUGCAAGUCGAACGGUAACAGGCCUUCGGGUGCUGACGAGUGGCGAACGGGUGAGUAAUGCAUCGGAACGUGCCCAGAGGUGGGGGAUAACGCAGCGAAAGCUGUGCUAAUACCGCAUGUGAUCUGAGGAUGAAAGCGGGGGACCAGGCAGCAAUGUUUGGCCUCGCGCCUUUGGAGCGGCCGAUGUCAGAUUAGGUAGUUGGUGGGGUAAAGGCCUACCAAGCCGACGAUCUGUAGCUGGUCUGAGAGGACGACCAGCCACACUGGGACUGAGACACGGCCCAGACUCCUACGGGAGGCAGCAGUGGGGAAUUUUGGACAAUGGGCGCAAGCCUGAUCCAGCAAUGCCGCGUGCUGGAAGAAGGCCUUCGGGUUGUAAACCGCUUUUGUACGGAACGAAAAGGCUCUGGCUAAUACCUGGGGCUGAUGACGGUACCGUAAGAAUAAGCACCGGCUAACUACGUG
rnacentral:rRNA from 1 species